AAUAAGCGGAGGAAAAGAAACCAACAGGGAUUGCCUCAGUAACGGCGAGUGAAGCGGCAAAAGCUCAAAUUUGAAAUCUAGCACCUUCGGUGUUCGAGUUGUAAUUUGAAGAUGGUAACCUUGGGUUUGGCUCUUGUCUAUGUUCCUUGGAACAGGACGUCAUAGAGGGUGAGAAUCCCGUCUGAUGAGAUGCCCAUUCCUAUGUAAGGUGCUAUCGAAGAGUCGAGUUGUUUGGGAAU
rnacentral:rRNA from 1 species